CCCCUCUCACCAUCCCGCCUGGAGAGUUUCCAAUACUCUACUAGUCUCAGCUAAGGGAGGGAGAAUCAAGCAGAGGCCUCCCCAUUCCAUUCCUAGCUUGGGCAGUGGCUAGUGAGUGGAAGGCAAUCUGCUACAAGU
rfam:Ornithorhynchus anatinus chromosome 11, whole genome shotgun sequence.